AUAUUUUCGCCUUCGCCAUCGACAAAGAUCUCACUCAAUUCAACCGCCUCCACUCUCACGCAAACCAUUUUUCUUUUCUUUCUCUCCCUCUGAGCCUUUCAUCGCUGCCUCGGAGAGAUGGCAGUGUCGGAAGGAUCACCAACCCCUCAGACGGUUGGCAAUGCUUUUGUCGAGCAGUAUUACUCCAUACUGCAUCAAAAGCCAGACCAAGUUCACAGAUUUUACCACGAGUCUAGCAUCCUAAGCCGACCUGAAGAAGAUGGUACCAUGACUAUGGUGACUACUACUUUGGAAAUUAAUAAAAAGAUACUCUCUCUGGAUUACACAAGCUUUAGGGUGGAAAUUCUGAGUGCUGAUGCACAGCCUUCUUACAAGGAUGGGGUAAUUGUUGUAGUGACUGGCUGCUUAACUGGAAGAGACAAUCUGAAAAGGAAGUUUACUCAGUCCUUUUUCCUAGCUCCCCAGGACAAAGGCUACUUUGUUUUGAAUGAUGUUUUCAGAUAUGUUGAUGAGUAUAAGUCAGUUGAUAUUGAGUCUGUGCCUGCAAACGAUGCUGCUGAUGAAAGUGCUCCAACAGAUGCUUUUGUCCCCGAGCCUGAGGCCAUUCAUGUUGCUGAAGAUGUUCCCGCUAGUCAAACUGAUGUUGUUGAUGCUGACAUUGGUGUCAGUAAAGAAGUGAGUCAACCACUAGAGAAUGGAAAUUUAUCAGUUACUGAAAAGGUGGUGCCUGUUGAUCAUGUUAAAGAAUGCAGUCAUCAGGAACAUCAUUCACACGCUGAGAAAGCUGCUUCUAAUAAUUCACUGGAGGAUACUCCAAAGAAGUCUUUUGCAUCCAUUGUGAAUGCACUAAAAGAAAAUGCUGCUCCCUUCCAUGUGAGGGUUUCCCCUGUGAAACUUCUUGAACAACCACGUGUUUCUAGUAUACCUGCACCAGAAGCACCAGCUCCUAGCACUGACAGUCCACCAGAAAAGAAUAAUGAGAUUGGAGGUAAGGCUUAUGCAAUAUUUGUUGCAAAUUUGCCCAUGAAUGCAACAGUUGAACAGCUGGAACGUGUUUUCCAGAAAUUUGGGCCCAUUAAACGGGAUGGCAUUCAAGUUAGAAGUAACAAGCAACAACAAUCUUGUUUUGGUUUUGUGGAAUUUGAAUCUGCUACUUCAAUGCAAAGUGCACUUGAGGCUUCUCCUCCUGUUACCUUGGAUGGACGUAGACUUUCAAUUGAAGAGCGACGAGCAAAUAAUGAUAGGGGGAGGCAUUCAUCAGGAAGGGGCAGUUACCGGAAUGACAGAAACGAUAACUUCAGGGGCCGUGGCAACUUCGGUGGUGGCCAUGGUGGCGGUUAUGGAAACAGGAAAUGAUAGUUUCGAGAAGCGAAGCGAGUUCUCUGGCCGGCCUCGUGGUGGCAACAAUGGUGGGCGUAGCAAUGGAGAAGCUGUUCCAAGGAGUUAUCAGAAUGGAGGAGCAAAAGUCACUGUCAACCAGUGAAAGUUCAGUAAAGUGAUUCAUUUUGUUGGGAAUUGAGUGACAACGGCAUUUUUCUUAUAGAUAGCGGCAUCUAGGGAUUCUGGUUUGCAACUGCAUUAAGAGUUUUUUUUCUCUAUUCCUUUAUAGCUGUCAUGAUCCUUUUGCUUCAGAGUUUUUUUGGUUAAAUCACAUCAUUCCCUAUAUUCCUUUAAAAUCACAUUUUGUAUCUAAUAUUCCGGAAUAAUUGUUUUGGAACUGCCCACAAUUAUGCCAUUUUUUUAGAAGUCAUAUGCUUCUUGUUUGUCUUUUGCAA